GACGAACGCUGGCGGCGUGCUUAACACAUGCAAGUCGAGCGAAGUAUUCAAGAUAGAUUUCUUCGGAAUUGAAGUCUUGAAUAUCUUAGCGGCGAAACGGGGUGAGUAACGCGUGAGAAACCUGCCUUUCACAAAGGGGAUAAGCCUCGGGAAACUGGGAUUAAUACCUUAUGAUACUUACAUUUCACAUGAGAAGUAAGUU
rnacentral:rRNA from 1 species